CGAAUCGUACCCCAAACCGACACAGGUGGUCAGGUAGAGAAUACUAAGGCGCUUGAGAGAACUCGGGUGAAGGAACUAGGCAAAAUCGUACCGUAACUUCGGGAGAAGGUACGCUCCGAUUGGUGAUGGGACUUGCUCCCUAAGCUGAUUGGAGCCGCAGUGACCAGGUGGCUGGGACUGUUUAUUAAAAACACAGCACUGUGCAAAAUCGCAAGAUGACGUAUACGGUGUGACACCUGCCCGGUGCCGGAAGGUUAAUUGAUGGGGUUAUCUUCGGAGAAGCUCUUGAUCGAAGCCCCGGUAAACGGCGGCCGUAACUAUAACGGUCCUAAGGUAGCGAAAUUCCUUGUCGGGUAAGUUCCGACCUGCACGAAUGGUGUAACCAUGGCCACGCUGUCUCCACCCGAGACUCAGUGAAAUUGAAAUCGCAGUGAAGAUGCUGUGUACCCGCGGCUAGACGGAAAGACCCCGUGAACCUUUACUACAGCUUGGCACUGAACAUUGAACCUACAUGUGUAGGAUAGGUGGGAGACUUAGAAGCAGAGACGCUAGUUUUUGUGGAGUCGUCCUUGAAAUACCACCCUUGUAGUUUUGAUGUUCUAACGUUGGCCCCUGAAUCGGGGUUACGGACAGUGCCUGGUGGGUAGUUUGACUGGGGCGGUCUCCUCCCAAAGAGUAACGGAGGAGCACGAAGGUUGGCUAAGUACGGUCGGACAUCGUACGGUUAGUGUAAUGGUAGAAGCCAGCUUAACUGCGAGACAGACACGUCGAGCAGGUACGAAAGUAGGUCAUAGUGAUCCGGUGGUUCUGAAUGGAAGGGCCAUCGCUCAACGGAUAAAAGGUACUCCGGGGAUAACAGGCUGAUACCGCCCAAGAGUUCAUAUCGACGGCGGUGUUUGGCACCUCGAUGUCGGCUCAUCACAUCCUGGGGCUGAAGUCGGUCCCAAGGGUAUGGCUGUUCGCCAUUUAAAGUGGUACGCGAGCUGGGUUUAGAACGUCGUGAGACAGUUCGGUCCCUAUCUGCCGUGGGCGUUUGAGAAUUGAGAGGGGUUGCUCCUAGUACGAGAGGACCGGAGUGAACGAACCGCUGGUGUUCGGGUUGUCAUGCCAAUGGCAUUGCCCGGUAGCUACGUUCGGAACUGAUAAGCGCUGAAAGCAUCUAAGCGCGAAGCAGGCCUCGAGAUGAGUUCUCACUAGACUUUUAAAGUCUCUGAAGGGCCGUUGAAGACUACAACGUUGAUAGGCAAGAUGUGGAAGUGGUGUGAGCCAUUAAGCUAACUUGUACUAAUUACCCGUGAGGCUUAACCAU
rnacentral:rRNA from 1 species